UUUCCUAGACGCUGUACCAUCAGGAGUCACCCCAGCAUCAGCAGUAAGCUGUACAGGCUUUUGCAUGGCUUUGACUAACCCAGGUUCUCGACAAUGGAGCUCUCUGUGAUCUUGGAGAGUAAUACCAUGUCGUCCACGCCACUCUGCUUGACAUCGUGACUCUGCCAGUGGUACCGAAAGGCACCUUUGCUGCCCUGGAGACAGAAGGCACAAAGGAAACUCGAAGAAGGAAGGAGCUUGUUCUCAUGUACACUCAUCGAGCAAAGAAACCACAGACAGACAGAAAAAGGAAAGGGGAAAAAACUGGAGUCCAUGUGUAGUCCUGACAAGAGACAGGAUUCUGGAGUAUUGUCGUCUGCUGCCGACACUUCAGGUGGCUUCACAGAGGCGCCAUGUACGAGGCUAGCACGAUGGACCAAGAUUCAGCCCUGCCCCCGCUGUGACAGCUCCUGACUUGGGGGAGUGUCAACGGAGCGCGGAAAACUUAUGGACAAAGGUCUGUAGAAAGGCCAGCUGCUCUGACAUCGAACCCAGCGCGGGGAAACAAAAGCAGGGGCUUCGCUUUGUUUGUCUGAGGAGGACACAGAUGUAAAGCUAAGUCCAAGAGGUUCAGCAGGAAAAGCAAUCAUCAAAAUCCAGCCGAGAGGAAGCCACCGCCAGGAAAAGCAUACCACACCAGGGGUUCAAACUGUGGAAAGAGGUUCUAGAAGGUUUACCACCCAUGCUGUCUAGAGGAGAGAGACCGUCCAUAUGAUACAUUUGGUUUUCUCAGAACCACACACAGCAUCAAUUCUGCAAAAUUACCUCAGAUGUCACCCUUCCCCCUUCCUCUGUGGCAAGCAGAGAGCGGAAAGGCUUUGCCCACAGCUUGACUCACAGGGCUCCCGUUGUACGCCCAAGGCCAAGCAGACACAGCCCAGGGUACUCCUCCUCUGGCUCUCUGGCCAGCCCCCCACAUACACAUGCAAACAGAAGGCUAAAAAAGUUAUUUUCCCUUUGAAAAAUGUAAACACGAUUGAGGAUAACAGAAAGCCAUCAACAAGUGGUUAUUUAAUGUCUACAAAGGACAAGGACAGGGGAGACUGGUGCCACAGUAUGCAUGCUCAUGCAGACCCUCAAAGUAACCUGUGUCUUGUGGACAGCCACCAGGUCCACUGGAUCCUCCCCAUCUCACGCUCCUGCCUGCCGUCUCAGAGACUGAUUCCUCCUCCUGAUGUCAAUCAUUCUCCAGGACCAUAGGGCUCCCUGCUGAGUCUACUGGGUGUCUUUGUCCCAGAAAUUGAUAUUAAAAGUUGUCACUCUGACCUCAAAUUUA